rnacentral:lncRNA from 1 species
AAACGGAAAAAAAAAAAGAAAAACUUCAAAUACCGCUCCUGUGAUUCACACUUUACAUUUUAGUACUUUAUAAUUUAAAGCGUAUCAAUUUAAUAUCCUAUAGUUCUAUUUUUCUCUUUUUAAUAUUUUUUUACUAAUUUUUUUUCGUUAAAUCAGUAACAAAGUUAAAACUAAAAAGUAUUAAAAUGAAUAUUCGAUAAAUCUAGAUGAAAUAUUUAAAAUUUUUUAUAUAUAAUUUAACAAAAUGUUAACAAAGAAGCUGACGAAAAAAGAAAAAUGAAGCCACAAGAUACAAAAUUAAUACGCUUUAAAUUACUGAGUAAUAAAGUAAGGAAGUGCGAUAUUAUAAAAAUAAUAUUUGAAGUUUAUACAAAAAAAAAAAAAAAAAAAAAAAAAACGAAGCUAAAGUACAUAUUGGUCCCCCAAUGUAGGCACGUCCUAUAUGUCACUUUAAUUUUCAAAUUUUAAUUUAUUAUAAAAUUAUCAUAUAAUAUGUUAAUAUAUUGUUAAUAAAAUUAACUAUACAAUAAUAUAUUGUUAAUAUGACAGGAGGUAGGCUGGAAUACUAUUAAUAGCAAACAAUUAUUUUUGCUAUCAAAUUUUUAACUUUUAGAUAAAAAAUUGUAGGAUUUAGAUGAAAUUAGUCCCUUUAGAGUUGAGUGGUUCUUUUAGAGUUGAGUAGUCCCCACUAGAUUAUAAUAUUUAAUCUAAUAAUUAGAAAUGAUAAAAAAAAUUGAUCUAAAAACUAAAAAUUUAAUAACAAAAAAGAUCUUUAGCUAUCAGUAUUUUAACCCAACUCAUAUGACACUAUAACAGUAAUAUUAUGCUAGAAUCUCUUCUUUACUUCUUUUUUUUUUUUUUUUUUUCCACUGUGUACUCCUCUUCUUCUCUUUCUCUUUACCUUUUCCUAGCCUCCUUGUCUUCUUUAUCUUUUAUUGUUUUUCGUUUUAGGUUUCGUUUGGGAUUACGGUGAGAUUGCGUUACGUGGAAAAGUACGUUGAAAAAAUAUCCUAUUUGUUUCCGUUUGUAAUAUUGCGUUCCGCAUAUUGCGAUGAGUCUGUUACGUUAUAUUUUCUACGGUCCCACCGGAGAACGCCGAAGCAUAUCUCUAUAUGCUUUUUCCACAACUCUAUUUUGUCUUAUAGAGUUACAUAGGCCUCAAUACCAAACUAAGCCUUAAUUAUCUUAUCCAUAUUUGCAAAAUUUAUUUUUUUUAACAAGAAAAUAAUAUACUAAUAAAAUAAUACGAUAAUAAAUAACAAAUUAUAUUAUUAUUAUUGUUAUAUUAGUGA